ensembl:lncRNA
GGAUAGCAGACGUAACCUUGAAGAGCUCCAUGUGUCUGAUUCCAAGAAUAAUACAUGACAUUCCUCACACUGAAAGAUGGGACACAGCAGUGCUUCACGUUCCUGUCUUCACUGUUCCAUCACACCUGAUUCAGCUCAUGAUGCGCUCGAUAAUUACCGAAGUUUUGUCGUAUGUGUCAACGGGUAAAAUGAUUGACUCUGUAGCUUUCCCGGAAUAGAAACAGGUGUCUUGGCAGAACUGUCCUUCACUUCCACGCUGGGCUCAUGACAUCAGCAGCCAGCACUGGUUAAUUAUAGACCAGCAGAGCUCGACCUCUACAAUACACACUGCAGCUCCUCUAGAAUCGCUUCUUGUGAAGAACCAAAAGCGGCCGAUCAUCAAGAUCAACAUACCGGAUAUCUUCAUUAUUUACACACCUUGGUUCAGAACCACACACCAACUGUUCAGCUUCAGGGUUCUUGGCAUGUCUUGCUCAUACCGUAAGAUCUUGCUGCUUCAGUGCUCCUCGCUCCUCAGUGGUGGAAUGAUCUUCCUGUUUCACUCCCAUCAGCCCAAUGCAGUCGUUCCUUCAACAAACAUCUCAAUACGUUCUUCUUCAGACAGUAUCUACGAUAACAUCUUGUUUUUCCACCACUUACCUUGCAUUAAUGUACUUGUUGUAUGUAUUGUUAUUAUUUAGAGUAUGCACUUAGGUUCGAUUGUAUGUUUGAUACCACCUAGAUCACUCUAUCAAACUAGCAUUCGAUUCUUGUCUUUUUUUCUUUUUUUUUAGGUUUGAAUACCUGCCAAGUGCUUUGAACCAUGCUCGUUUACUGGUUUAUAUUUUUUAAGUUGUUUUAGACUUCUUGAUGCAUUUGUCUUUGAAAAAGCAAAAAAAAAAAAGAAAGAAAAGGAACUGUAGAUAAAUGUAUAAACUAUGGAUAAGUGCAUAGGUUUUAUUCAUUUCAUUGCAUGACAAGAGCAAAUAACCUUCUGCUUGCACCUUAGAAAGAGACACUGUGAAUCAAAUUUCAGUCAAAAGAUGCAAGUAAGACAUGUUAUAAGUAAGGAAUAAAACAAGACCAGGAAGUGCUGUUG